CUCUACAAAGAAAAGAAGUAAUCGCAUAUGAAACCUGCUGCUAGAACGAGCACAGGUGAUCACCUGAGAAAAGAAUGCAUUUCUUCUUCAGCGGGAGGUGUCGCUGGCUUUGCUAAUGUGUCUUUAAUGUGGCCCGUUGCACCCCUUGGAUGUGGAUAUCAAAACGUUUAAAAUCGACCCGCUCACUGGAGGCAGAAAGCGGUGUUAUGGGGGUGUUUGCAGACUAGCGUGCCAUGAGGCCCGGGGCACUAAUCCACCAGCGCCACACUGCCGAAUCCAGGCAUGGGGACAAACAAUGACCCACAGGAGAGAAAUGGCAAUUACCUCCAGCAAGGCGGCCACUUCACACACCUGUCACAACACAGAUGAAGCCAUCAUGCAAGGCCGGUGGAGAGGGACAAAAACGAGGAAGCUUUCCCUCGGUGACCCUUCAGUUUUCAUAGUCUCUCCUCUCUUUCAGCUCAACUAUUAAGACAUAAAGGGGUCAGUCCCCAGACAGCUCCAUCCUCCAUCCUUCAUCUUUGACACAAACCCUUGCAGCAGGCUCUUAUUGGUAGCCACAGAGCAUUGAAAUCAGGAUUAUAAGUGUAGCUUUUUUGUUUUUACUCUGAGAAAAUGGCUUCCAGAUUCUGGAUUUUGUCAAUUAUCGUUUCUUUUGUGAUUUUCCUGAGUGGGGAGGUCUAAUUUUCUUUAUUUUAUUGAUCAAACAUAAGUCACAUACACAGUUUCCCAGAGAGCUUUAAAGCGGAAGAUCAGUUUGAGACGUAAAAAAAAGGGCAAAUCAUUUAAUCGUUUGAGUGAUCUGAAGCAGUGCUACGAAAAAAUAUCGCACGAAGCGCAGCAACAACAACAAAAAAAUGAAUAUACAUUUUGCCAUAUGUCGCCAUUUGGCAUCUGGCGUCCUGCUGUGCGAGUUGAUGUGAAGGUGGAAUCUGGUUUGACUUAACCAUGUGGCACAUACAGGCCUAAACAAACAUGUAUUUCAGAUGUCUGGCUCUAAAAACCAGAUAAAAAAGCAGCGGCUAUAUGAGGAAAUAAUUUGCUCAUAAAAUUCAUAGAUCUACUUGAGUGUGAUUCCUUCAAGUGUUUUAUGGCUCCCUCUUAAGAUAAUGAAACAGAAAUAAAAUCCCAUGGGGGAAAGAUCUAAGUUCUGUUUACAGUCGUUCACAUCAGUGUGAUUUGCUUUGAUGAGAUUUGGUCAUUUAUUGUCAAAUUUACUCAUUUAUCAGUCUAACCUCACACACUCAAUUUGAUGCGCACAAAGAACAGCGGAUCCUUUAUUCUCGGCAGAAAUUCCUCGCAUUUGAAUACCUUUGUGGUAUGAAAACCAUAUCAUUAAGUACACCGCAGAAAUAGAGAAAGCAUCAGAUUCCAUUACCGUGUACAACUGCUCUACAACUCUUGACUUUUUUUUUUUCCCUUCCAGAAUUCGCAGGAUGUGUACAGACCAGUGUUCAAAUCCACCCCCAGCCAUAGCAAAACGACCCAAUUGCCUUGUGAUUAACGUACAAUAAAAGAAUGUGACGGCUUAAAGAAGCAGCAGGAAAAGCUGCCCAGUGAAAGAUGGGUGUAUGGCGCACUCUAUAAUUAAGCCAGUCUGCACUUGAUGAAAGUAGAUCACACUGGCGGGCCACGGCUUCACAGCCAGUUUGUUUUUACGACAUAAUUACAGUCCAAAUCAAAUGAGAAGAUUUAAUAUUGCACCACGACGAGCAUGUGGCCAAUGCCAACAAUGACACUGACCCCCCUGAGGCGAGGUGUGUGUGUGUGUGUGUGUGUGUGUGUGUGUGUGUGCACGGGCAGGUCGGGCGUCAGGAAGCCGACAGCAGAGAAGCUUCCCCACCGCAGUAGCUGUGUACCUGUGUCUGGGCCCCUCUGGGAGGUCUGACACCAAUGGAAUUACGCUGACAGUGGGACGGAGG